rnacentral:lncRNA from 1 species
CCUUCCCUCAUCCAGAUAUUAAAAAUAAUAUAACUAGUCUUAUGUCGCUCAACAUCGUCGGAAGUAUCGAAGGACUCAUUCAAUACUUAAAGCAUGUUCUUUGGCUGAGCAUCUACAAACUUGCGACUGAACUCAUCGUUCAUCACAGUCUGCAUAAUGCAAUGCAUCAUGGUACGAUUGUUGAGCCACUUCUGAAAAAUA